UUCUUUAUUGUUUUAACAAAGCUUUCAUCUGACGCUACAUUACCUUCACGAAGCCACUCUCCUCAGUCUGGGUUUUAGGAAACCCUAGAUUUCCCUGUGCCUGCGUCAAAACAACGUUGUAUAAACGUACAAAUUUCGCUCUAUCCAGUCGCCUCUCCAUAAUCCAUUUAGUUGGUGCUUUAUAAUUCGUAUACUGAUGUUUCAGAAUUGGCCGCGCGUUUUCCGCCUAUUACGGUGCCCCCGACGAUGCUCUACUCUUUGCCUCCUUUACUCUACUUCAGUCAAGAAUAAAAAUAUGCGUUAUGUGCAUAUUGACGUGCAUAUCGGGUGAGGAGUAUUUAUUCCUUCUUGGAUUUCGUUCAUGGCGAGGACUCCCCGUCGAAUAAAUCCCGGGAGGUGACUGAUGAUGCCCCCGGUUGUCCCGAUUUAGAUGAGAAUGCGUUGCUGAAUACACAGUGCCCAGGAAUCUAGAGCUUAUAUGGCAAAAGGAAGUUAGUUCUAGACUUCUAGCAUUUAUGCGACUCAAUUGAUUGCAGAUAUCAACAGUGAUGGUAAACUUGUGUCCUUUGUUCACUAUCUUGAAGUUCUAUGGGCUCGCUUAAUGAAAGUCCAACUUACAAAGUCGUAGACUGUAAUUGCUCCACCAGGGCCAUCAAUUGCCCUUCUAUAGAAACGAAGAGUAAGAACAAGGAGUUUAUGCUAGAUAAGGAAAUUUUCCUUACCAUUGAUCCAUGCAUAGACAUUGCGGAACAGUAUUUUGGCGUCACUAUUUAUCCGAAAAGGCGGGCCCUAGUUUAGACAUUGCUCCAUACCCAAAUGAAGAACAUCCAGGUCCUGUUAUCAACUUAUGCCAGGUAUCAUCCAUUGACCGAGCUAUAAGUUUAUGAGACUAUAUUUUCUUUCACCAUAUGCAUAUGUUAGUUUCGCUGUUUAAAGGCUCAAAAGAGGCUCAUGCCAACAGAGUUGAAAAAUGUGUGCUUCGCAGGUGAAAUAUACAAUGUUUACACAAGAUGAUGAUGUGCACAUCAUGUAAAAUCUGUGAUCAUAGUAUGUAGUAAAUAUAGCCGGCAUAAAGUGAAUGCAUUUUUACUGUAACUGCAUUAUGAAAUGGAUUAAUGGACAAUAAUGAUGGAAUGUCCACUAAGCAUUGGGGGUGUAAAUUCAUUGUGCUGUAGCAAUAUAGGCAGCCUAGUUCUGGAUGUCAUUCUCAUAGAGAGAGACUACAAAAGCAAAUUUCUCAGGCAAAGUUAUUUAAAGAAGUGGAUUUCCUUGAGAAGGAUACAGACAUUGCAAGAAAUGAAGAGUAAGAAUAAGGAGUUUAUGCUAGAGAAGGAAAUUCUCCUGACCGUUGUUCCAUACGUGGACAUUGCGAAACAGUGUUUUGGCGCACUGUUUAUUCUGAAAGGCGGGCCCUAGUUCAGACAUUGCUCCAUACCCAAAUGAAGAACAUCCAGGUCCUGUAAUCCCAGCUAUGGACGAACCCAAGAUCUAUCCAUGACCAGGAUGAAACUAAGUGGAGGUCCGAACCGAUUGAUGUUGAAGAAUCAGUGGAUGAGUUGUGGUUCUCCCCGAAAUGCAAGCGCAGCAGUUGAUUGGACAUCUAGGGAUGGUUCCUAGUGCGAUCAACGACUCCUAGUACCACCAUGCCGACGAUGAUCUCGCCUGAAGAGGCUCUCGAGAUUGUACUGCGACUGGCCCAGCGUUUGCCGAGUGUUACGGUUCCCCUCCACGAUGCUCUCGCCUUGGUUUUGCCGGAGAAUAUUCUUGCGCCUGAACCCUUUGCCUCUUUAACCGACUUCAGUCAAGGUCUUGGUAAUGGACCGUGUACUUGUGUUGGUAGUCAAUGAUGCUUCUGAAGGAGCCCUGCAAAAUUUUUGAAGACGCUUCUGGCAAGAUCUUCCUGUUACCUUACAUAUUUACCAUGUGCUUUCUUAAUUUUUUAUGCCCUUAGUGUCUGGCUCUGAAAAUUUCAAUUGACUCAAAACUCCUGUUGGCUGCUCAUUACAUUCUAACAUCUCUUUCAUUGCUGUAGCUUAGAUUCGCAUACAAGUUUCUGUUUGCCAAGGAUGUGACAUUGAGAAAGAUGAUAGUGUCAAAAUCUGGAGAAAGAGUUGGUCUUGCUGAAAUUGGCCUACUUGCUACUGUGGGUGUACUGAUGGUGAUGUUGCUCAUUUGCGCUUAUUUAAUACAGAAUGAUCCGAUAAUAUAUAAUGCUUUUACUCAGGUACAUCCUAAACAAAUAAUUGUUGUGCUUUCUACUGGAGAUGAGCUCGUGGAGCCAGCAACUACACGUCUAAGGCGUGGGCAAGUAUAGUUUGCAUUGCGUAUGCUUGUGUGUAGAUCAGGCACUCGAAUCGUGCAAUGAUAAUUGCAUCAGCAAUGCAGAGUUCUUGAUCUUGGUAUUGCUAAAGAUUAUCAAGAAGGUCUCAAGAGGAUCCUGGAGAGUGCCUUUUCUUCUAGGAUCGACAUUCUUCUCACAUCUGGAGGUGUUUCCAUGGGGGACAAGGGUUUUGUCAAGCCAUUGCUUGAAAGAGAGGGACUGUACAUUUUGACAAGAGUACAGGAUCCCUGUUUGUGGUCCAAAUCGUACAGAAUUUCAUCGUGCUAUCAUUAGAUGGAAGGUCAAUGAUGGAUCAAGCAGUUCUGGGUGAGCUGUUCAGAUUUGUUGCUCAAGAGUAUUGGUCAUCAAACGAGCAGUCGGCUUUCAAGUAUGAUGUCAGCUAAUGCCUUGUUGGAAUUGCCAACAACAGGUAGUGAAAUACCUGCCGGAACUUCAGUCUCGGCCUUUGUACUCUCUGAUUUAAGUUGUGCUGCUAUAAAUGAGACAGUGCCAUAGCAUUUCGUCGUGCUUCUGCUCAAGCAGAAAGUAAAUAGGAGCAUGCUGCUGCAAAUAAAUUGCAAGAUGCUGAAUUCAGAGUUGUUGUUCUAACAGUAAGUGAUACUGUUGCAUCUGGGGCUGGUCCUCAUAGGAGGUAUGGCACUGUAUGCUGUAUUUUACAAUGUUGUAUUGUUGGUCUGUCUGAAGCUUAUAAGCUAGUCCUCAACUAAACGUGUGGUGUUUUAGUAACAUGCUUGGUUGGAAGUAUCAUCCUACAUUGGUUUUGGGUCUUUACUAUUCAUGUUCACAAACAGCCUCUCCACAUUAUGUGGGGUAAGAAUAAGGAGUUUAUGCUGGAUAAAAAAUUCUCCUUACCGUUGUUCCAUGCGUAGCCGUUGCAGAACAGUGUUUUGGCAUCACUGUUUACCCUGAAAAGCGGGCCCUAGUUCAGACAUUGCUCCAUACCCAAAUGAAGAACAUCCAGGUCAUGUAAUCCCAGGUUCAAAAGGCAAACUCAUCUAUGAACAAUUUCUUAUGGAGGUGUCGGAAAGAAGGUGAAGAGAAUCAAAAGGAAGCAAGGAGGAGGAAAGUUGAUUCAGUGAAUAUUCUAUUACUACCUCGUAAUUGAUGUACCAUGGUUGUCAAGAAGUCUUGAUGGGAGGUUGAGGCUGCCUAUUGAAUACCUGAAUGAUGUAAUCGACAUUGCAAAGGUAAUAUGAGCAUCGUUAGGACAUCA